UACCAGCUGGCUGCAACUGUUUAUUAAAAACACAGCACUGUGCAAACACGAAAGUGGACGUAUACGGUGUGACGCCUGCCCGGUGCCGGAAGGUUAAUUGAUGGGGUCAGCGCAAGCGAAGCUCCUGAUCGAAGCCCCGGUAAACGGCGGCCGUAACUAUAACGGUCCUAAGGUAGCGAAAUUCCUUGUCGGGUAAGUUCCGACCUGCACGAAUGGCGUAAUGAUGGCCAGGCUGUCUCCACCCGAGACUCAGUGAAAUUGAACUCGCUGUGAAGAUGCAGUGUACCCGCGGCAAGACGGAAAGACCCCGUGAACCUUUACUAUAGCUUGACACUGAACAUUGAGCCUUGAUGUGUAGGAUAGGUGGGAGGCUUUGAAGCGUGGACGCCAGUCUGCGUGGAGCCGACCUUGAAAUACCACCCUUUAAUGUUUGAUGUUCUAACGUGGACCCGUAAUCCGGGUUGCGGACAGUGUCUGGUGGGUAGUUUGACUGGGGCGGUCUCCUCCUAAAGAGUAACGGAGGAGCACGAAGGUUGGCUAAUCCUGGUCGGACAUCAGGAGGUUAGUGCAAUGGCAUAAGCCAGCUUGACUGCGAGCGUGACGGCGCGAGCAGGUGCGAAAGCAGGUCAUAGUGAUCCGGUGGUUCUGAAUGGAAGGGCCAUCGCUCAACGGAUAAAAGGUACUCCGGGGAUAACAGGCUGAUACCGCCCAAGAGUUCAUAUCGACGGCGGUGUUUGGCACCUCGAUGUCGGCUCAUCACAUCCUGGGGCUGAAGUAGGUCCCAAGGGUAUGGCUGUUCGCCAUUUAAAGUGGUACGCGAGCUGGGUUUAGAACGUCGUGAGACAGUUCGGUCCCUAUCUGCCGUGGGCGCUGGAAGACUGAGGGGGGCUGCUCCUAGUACGAGAGGACCGGAGUGGACGCAUCACUGGUGUUCGGGUUGUCAUGCCAAUGGCACUGCCCGGUAGCUAAAUGCGGAAAAGAUAAGUGCUGAAAGCAUCUAAGCACGAAACUUGCCCCGAGAUGAGUCUUCCCUGAGACCUUGAGUCUCCUGAAGGAACGUUAAAGACGAUGACGUUGAUAGGCCGGGUGUGUAAGCGCAGCGAUGCGUUGAGCUAACCGGUACUAAUGAACCGUGAGGCUUAACCUUACAACGCCGAAGCUGUU
rnacentral:rRNA from 2 species